rnacentral:tRNA from 1 species
GGGGUUGUGGCUCAGUGGUAGAGUGCUUGCUUAGCAUGCAUGAGGCACUGGGUUCAAUCCUCAGCAACACAC